UCCGAAGGUGUCCGUAGAAUUAACAUGGAUCGAAACCGGGAUUUGUCACUCCGUGUGACCAAGAGGUAUCUCGGGGCCCACUCGGUAAUACAACAUCACAAACAAGUCUUGCAAGCGAUGUGACUAAAUUGUUAACCACAGGAUCUUGUAUUACGGAACGAGUAAAGAGACUUGCCGGUAACAAGAUUGAAAUAGGUAUGGCGAUACCGACGGUCGAAUCUCGGGAAAUAAUACACCAAAGGACAAAGGGACUGAUAUACGGGAUUGUGUGAAUUCUUGACAUAGAGGUUCAACCCAUAAGAUCUUCGUAGAAUAUAUAGGAUCCAAUAUGGACCUCCAGGUCCCGCUAUUGGAUAUUGGCCGGAGAGUGUCUCGGUCAUGUCUACAUAGUUCUCAAACCCGCAGGGUCUGCACACUUAAGGUUCAAUGACGUUUUCGGUAUAGUUGAAUUAUUGAUGUUGGUAACUAAAUGUUGUUCGGAGUCCUAUAUGAGAUCCCGGACGUCACGAGUGUCUCCGGAAUGGUCCGAAAACGAAGACUGAUAUAUAGGAUUGUUGCAUUUGGCUUCCGGAAAUAUUUCGGGCAUUAUCGGUAAAAUAUCGGGAGUGAUGAAUGGGUUCCGGGGUUUUACCGGGAGGGGUCACCCACCCGGGAGAGGACCUAAU
rnacentral:lncRNA from 1 species